rnacentral:rRNA from 1 species
UACGAAGGGGGCUAGCGUUGUUCGGAAUCACUGGGCGUAAAGCGCACGCAGGCGGAUUGAUAAGUCAGGGGUGAAAUCCCGGAGCUCAACUUCGGAAUUGCCUUUGAUACUGUCAAUCUCGAGUCCGGGAGAGGUGAGUGGAAUUCCUAGUGUAGAGGUGAAAUUCGUAGAUAUUCGGAAGAACACCAGUGGCGAAGGCGGCUCACUGGACCGGCAUUGACGCUGAGGUGCGAAAGCGUGGGGAGCAAACAGG